rnacentral:rRNA from 1 species
AACGAACGCUGGCGGCAGGCCUAAUACAUGCAAGUCGAACGCUGUAGCAAUACAGAGUGGCAGACGGGUGAGUAACGCGUGGGAAUCUUCCUUGCAGUCCGGAAUAACUCCGGGAAACCUGGGGUAAUACCGGAUAAGCCCUUCGGGGGAAAGAUUUAUCGCCAUUGGAUGGGCCCGCGUAGGAUUAGCUAGUUGGUGAGGUAACGGCUCACCAAGGCGACGAUCCUUAGCUGGUCUGAGAGGAUGAUCAGCCACACUGGGACUGAGACACGGCCCAGACUCCUACGGGAGGCAGCAGUGGGGAAUAUUGGACAAUGGGCGAAAGCCUGAUCCAGCCAUGCCGCGUGAGUGACGAAGGUCUUAGGGUUGUAAAGCUCUUUUGGCGGGGAAGAUAAUGACGGUACCCGCAGAAUAAGCUCCGGCUAACAUCGUGCCAGCAGCCGCCGUAAGAC